ensembl:lncRNA
CACAGACAAGACCAUCUGGCUCAGCCCACAAGACAUCAGCAUUGGUCUAGGUGCAGAGUCAGUCCUUAAGGUAGUGUGAUGUUUUCAAAAGAUAAUUUUACAAAUGGUUAGGGUGAACCAGGUGUCAUUGAAGACAUGUUCUAUAUUCAUGGCUAAUUUCUCUCUCUAGAGAAUCAAAGGUGCAGAGCUCAGGGUGCUCGAGUUCAAGAGAGAGUGCAUGCAGGGACUGAGUAACAUGAUCAAGAAAGUGCAGAGUCAGUCCUUAAGAGAAUCAAAGGUGCAGAGCUCAGGGUGCUCGAGUUCAAGAGAGAGUGCAUGCAGG